rnacentral:rRNA from 1 species
UGGGGAAUAUUGCACAAUGGAGGGAACUCUGAUGCAGCGACGCCGCGUGAACGAAGAAGGCUUUCGAGUCGUAAAGUUCUUUUAUAUGGGAAGAUAAUGACGGUACCAUAAGAAAAAGCCCCGGCUAACUACGUGCCAGCAGCCGCGGUAAUACGUAGGGGGCUAGCGUUGUCCGGAAUCACUGGGCGUAAAGGGUUCGCAGGCGGAAAUGCAAGUCAGGUGUAAAAGGCAGUAGCUUAACUACUGUAAGCAUUUGAAACUGCAUAUCUUGAGAAGAGUAGAGGUAAGUGGAAUUUUUAGUGUAGCGGUGAAAUGCGUAAAUAUUAAAAAGAAUACCGGUGGCGAAAGCAACUUACUGGGCUCAUUCUGACGCUGAGGAACGAAAGCGUGGGUAGCAAACAGG